CUGAUCAAUUCUGGUUUCCAAGCUGUCCGUUACCUUUAAACAGAACCAUCCAGGCGAUAACAUCAGGUCCAAAUAAGGGGUGGUCGUUGUUAUACCUUCAUAUUCCCAUGAACUACGAGAGCUUCGUCAGGCCUGUCUGUGUUUAUUCCAACUCUUCCAGCAUGAUAAACACUGUCAGGAGCAGCACCUCGUUGCCAUCCCCCCUCAGCACCAACACCGCUUCCUUCAGACUCAAAUUGCCCAGGAUUGCUCGCCUGCGUAAAAGCCUAGUGACUUUACAGCUGUUCCACUCAAAGAUUUUACUACCAUAUCAACUUGGCGGUAUGAAACGAACACAUAAGACAUUUUUCAGUGCUAACAGAAAGUCAACCAAAUGUUUGUAAAAUUUAGAAUAGAAGUACUAUUUCUGGCCAGGUCUUGGAAAAUUAUAUAAUAUUUUUAUACAACAGUGCGAUACCUUUGGGUUUUUUCGAUGCAUAUUAUUACUUGCAAAUUUGUCGUUUCGAUCGCAAAAUUCAUAGUCCACUAGUGUUAAUAUCAAGCUGAUUCUUGAAAAAACGGCUACAAAUGGUACAAUAGCCAAAAACUGUACGUGUCCCUUAAUGCCGAUUGAUAAAUUAUUACGAAGUGGAAAAAAAUUUUCAAUGCUCCAAGAUGAAUUCAUGCGAGCACCAAAAAUGUUGCUAAUAUUAUAAAAAAUAUUGUGCUAUUGGCAUAGUUAAAGUUACUCCACUUACCCUGACAAUGAUCCGUUCGGAGGCAUGGGCAACAACUUGAUAGCUUGCGUGAUCAGCAGUAUGAGCAUGCAAGCCAACGACUAAGUGGAAAUACCUCUGGUCUGGAUUUGGUUUUCCUUUCUUUCUCAUGUUAUUGCUUGUUGUUUCACUAAAGUGCAGACGACCUACUGUCACCUUAGUGACACGUUCACCUCCCAAUUCAA